rnacentral:rRNA from 1 species
UGCCAGACUCCUACGGGAGGCAGCAGUGGGGAAUAUUGCACAAUGGGGGAAACCCUGAUGCAGCGACGCCGCGUGAGUGAAGAAGUAUUUCGGUAUGUAAAGCUCUAUCAGCAGGGAAGAAAGAAAGUCCUUUGGACUUUGGACGGUACCUGACCAAGAAGCCCCGGCUAACUACGUGCCAGCAGCCGCGGUAAUACGUAGGGGGCAAGCGUUAUCCGGAUUUACUGGGUGUAAAGGGAGCGUAGACGGCAGCGCAAGUCUGGAGUGAAAUGCCGGGGCCCAACCCCGGAACUGCUUUGGAAACUGUGCAGCUCGAGUGCAGGAGAGGUAAGCGGAAUUCCUAGUGUAGCGGUGAAAUGCGUAGAUAUUAGGAGGAACACCAGUGGCGAAGGCGGCUUACUGGACUGUAACUGACGUUGAGGCUCGAAAGCGUGGGGAGCAAACAGGAUUAGAUACCCCCGUAAG